AAAUCAUACCAGCGUUUCUUCCGAGAUCCGACUGUAAAACCAACAUUAUUAUAGCAUUUAUUAGCAAGUUAAGCGUACUACAAUUGCCAUUGUGCACCUGUUCCAGAAGAGGUGAUGCAUGAUGUUUAUUAUUUAAUCUUUUAGUUAGAUCUAAAAAUAUCUUGAAGUGCAGUCUUGCUAAUUACGUCAAGCUUUAUAUUGUGCUCUGUUGUCAACGAACAUCGGCCGCACGAAUGUGCAUUCAGUCCUUGUCUGAACCUGACCUCUAAGCUGUGCGGUUGUGUAAGACUGCAGGGAGGAAGAGAGAUGGACAGCAUCUCCUGUCACCAUGCACUGCAGCGGGAGAGAGACUGGCUGUUGAUAUUGGCCGUGGAGACGCGUGUCUAAACCUGCGCCCUCAUCUCAGACUGCGGCUGGCGUAUUAUCGGGGAUGAGGACAGUAAUAAAUGAGCCGCUGUCCCGCUGCAUCAUGCAGGAAAUCUCGCUCAAGGUGAUUCCGGGAUUCUUCAGCUUUCUGCUCUCCAGAAGGAUUGCCGUGAUUUAUGAAAUGCUCCAGUUUGGGCAGGAAAAGGACACAGAGGACAGGAAGGAGGGGGAUUGCAAUGACAUCACACAGGCAGGGCUAGAACACCGCGAUCUACCCAUGGGUGAUGACGUUUAGUUUCUUUUUCGCUCUUCAAGCCCAAUCAGAAAAUCUUUGCUAUUUAUAAGGGAAAAAUAAGGAAAAAAAAAAACAUUUAAUAAAAAUCUGUCAUCAAUAUACUUACAAUUACGUUGCUCUAAAACUGUCUCACCUCUCUUUUGUGGGACACAAAAGAAGAUAUUUAGCAGAAUGUUCAAGCUGCUCUCUUCCAUCCAGUGAAAGUCAAUGGGGACCAAAUCUGCUCCUGGUCCUAAAGGAACAGCCUGGAUAUUCUGAUAAAUAUUAAAAAUCUACUUUUUCGAUUAAAGUCAUGCAAAUUUGGAAUAUCAUGAGGCUGAGUAUAUGAUGACAGAAUUAUCAUUGUGUGGUUAAGUCUCGCUUUAAAUAAGCCUAAAUCAUUUAGAUAAAAAUAUGAAUUAUUGCAAAUUAUUGGACCUCCAUAACUUUAUAACAAAUAUUUAAAUAUUUAAUGUAAAAUCUGGAUGAAAAAGAAAACAUCAACACAUCGUCAAAUAAAGGUUUAUGAGAUGUGUGGCAGCAUAUUUAAUAAAAUAAAUAGUGUAA